UGGGGAAUUUUGGACAAUGGGCGAAAGCCUGAUCCAGCAACUGCCGCGUGUGUGAAGAAGGCCUUCGGGUUGUAAAGCACUUUUGUCCGGAAAGAAAUCCUUGGCUCUAAUACAGUCGGGGGAUGACGGUACCGGAAGAAUAAGCACCGGCUAACUACGUGCCAGCAGCCGCGGUAAUACGUAGGGUGCAAGCGUUAAUCGGAAUUACUGGGCGUAAAGCGUGCGCAGGCGGUUUGCUAAGACCGAUGUGAAAUCCCCGGGCUCAACCUGGGAACUGCAUUGGUGACUGGCAGGCUAGAGUAUGGCAGAGGGGGGUAGAAUUCCACGUGUAGCAGUGAAAUGCGUAGAGAUGUGGAGGAAUACCGAUGGCGAAGGCAGCCCCCUGGGCCAAUACUGACGCUCAUGCACGAAAGCGUGGGGAGCAAACAGGAUUAGAUACCCUGGUAGUCCACGCCCUAAACGAUGUCAACUAGUUGUUGGGGAUUCAUUUCCUUAGUAACGUAGCUAACGCGUGAAGUUGACCGCCUGGGGAGUACGGUCGCAAGAUUAAAACUUAAAUGAAUUGACGGGGUCAUAGCUGUUUCCU
rnacentral:rRNA from 1 species